CCAUUAUUACUAAAUAUAGGUUAAGCUACAACUCAAGCAGCUGCCUCUGGGGCUUGGGGAUCUUGGAAAUAAGGGAAAGACUUCAGGGGACUCAGCCAGGGGAGGAUAUUUAGCAUGAAAAUGUGACCAAUUUCUGAUAUUCAAAGACCUUUCAAAAAAAGGUGAAUUGAGAAUUUAUGUUAAAUUCAUGAGGUAUUUUUACAACUUCUACUCCUAUGAAUAGUGUUAAUUCCUAGCAAGCCAGAGAAAAGCUACAUUUCUUAUCUUUCCCUUCUUAGAUUAUUCAAAGCAAUAUCAGAUAGAACAAUGUUUACUUUUCAAAUUUUUGUCACUGCAAAACACACUCACUGUAUCAGGUGUUCCCUAUCCCUGGGCCACAGACUGGUAUUGGUCCAUGGUCUGUUAGGAACUGGGGAUCUAGGAUCCCUCAUGGGAGGAAUCUAGGUUGUGUGCUUCUUAUGAGAAUCUAACUAAAGCCUGAUGCUUUCAAGUUGAACAGUUUCAUCCUGAAACCACUCCCCGCCAUCCUACUCCCCUCCACCUUGUCCGUCUGUGCAAAAAAUUGUCUUCCACGAAAUCAGUCCCUCGUGCCAAAAAGGCUGGGGACCGCUGCUCAGCAUAAAGUGUAUAUAACAUAUAGUUUUGAGAAUACCACUAUACAAUUAACACCAAUAUACACACCACCCAGUACUUUUGAAACCCUCCAUAGGCUUCUUCAAUCGUUCUCUCCCCUUCUGAGUAACUAUUGUGUAGAAUUUUGUGUAUUCAUUUAUUUGCUUUUCUUUAUCAGUUCACCAGAAAGGUAGGCAGCCAUAGACAAUAUGUUGUUGAGGUGUGAUUUCUGACCUUCAGAAGAAUGGAAAUAUAAUACGUACUUUGCAAUUUGCUUUUUUUUUCACUCAACAUGAUGCUUCUGAGAUUUAUCUAUGCUGACAUGUAGUUUGAUUUAAUUCAUUUUACUGAAGCCAUUAUAUGAGUAUAUAAAGUUCCAUUGAAUAGCUUGUUAAAAUUCUAUUGUAUACAUUUCACCGAAUGAAUAUAACACACUUUAUUUGUUCAUUUUACAGAUGCUGAACAUUUGAGCUGUUUCUAGGAUUCUAGUUUCACAACAACGCAGCUAUGACCACUAGGAACAUUCCUGUACACGUCCCUGGGGCACAUGUGAUGGUUUUUCCAGGGUUUGUGGCUUUCUGUAGCCAGAAGCAGAAUUUCUGGGUUGCUAGGUAUACGCAUGUUCACCUUUACUGUGUAAUGCCAAAUUGUUCCCCAAAUUGUUUUUUAAACACUAAUUCCCACAUUAAUUAGGUUGCUUAAGUGUUCCUAUUGUUUUAUAUGCUUACCAAUACUUGAUAAACAAUAUAUUUUCUUACUGUUGCAAUGGACUGAACAUUAUCCAAAGAGAGGUAAAGUUUGCAUAUAUUUUUGUUUAGGAUAGAUUAAAAUUAGUGCCAUAUUUAUUACAAGACAUAGCUGUAUUUUUUAAUAGAGAGCUAGAACCAUGCUUGAGUAUAAAAGUAUAAAAGUGCUCAGCCUAUGGCACCAAGAUGAGUCUAUAAACAUGCUAGGCAUUGAUUCAAAAGAAGAAAAAUGGGCUAAGGUAUAUUAUUGAGACAGCAAAAUCUUUCUGCUGUUUGCAUCUACACCCAAAAUUUUAGACACUUGUUGGGGGGAGAACUUUUGCUUUAUAUAUCAGAAAUACUUUUAAUUAAAUGGGCUGAUAUCUUUAAUAGAAACUGUAUUUUAGCAGAAUGAUCUUAUAUAUUUGGCUAUUGAGAAUGAAGGACACAUAUUGGAAAAGGGAUAUUUAUGAACUGCCAUCUAUAAGUUGAUGCUUUAGCCCUUCUCACAUGAUAUAUCUGUAUCAUGUGUGUGUAUGUGUAUAUAUGUGUCUGUGUGUGUAUAUAUAUUUACAUGUAUAUAUUUUUCUUCAGCUGAUGAGAUAUAUAUAUUUGUCAGAUGAAUUUAUGUAUGUAUAUAUUUCAUCACAUUAAGAAAAAAUACAAGAGUAUUACUUCAUACACAAUAGAUGAGGCAUGUAAUUAAUUUGCCAGAUCUGUAACAAGGAAAUUGAUAAAUGCAUAGUUUUAUCAACUUCUAGCUUGGCAUUUGGAAUAACUUAAAUAUUAGCCCUAAAUAUUUGGUCAAGUUUUCCUACUUUGAGAUAGAGGGCAUAAUUUGCAGUUGUCUAAUAAAUAUGAGCUUUAUAUCUACUUCUUUAGCUUUAUAUAUGGAAACAUCAUGUUAUUGAGAAUGAACAAUCUAUAGCACUCAAGAUCUGCAACAGUUUUUGAAUUAUCAAGGAAAUAAAACAAUAUUUACACCUUAGGCUGCAUCAGAAUUCAUGUAUUGUUACAUUGAAAGACAAGUUAUGAUGGAACAAAAUUUCAAAUUGUUACUGCUAAGUAUUAUUAUUGCUUUUAAUUUUGGAGUUUUUGUAAAUGAUAAUGAAAAAUAAAACAAUUGUGAAUAUUUUAAUCAUCAAACUGUUGUAUGCUCUCUUUUAUACAUACAUACUUAAAUAUAAUUAUAUAUUUUUAAAAAUUGGGUUUGUAAAGUAGACACUGGUUUUGGCUUGCUUUCUUUUCAUUUAAUACAUAAGGGGAAUUUUUCCAUAUAUGGAAUAGCAUGUGAUAUGAAACAAAACUGUCUGGAUUCUAUUCAAAUGGGUGGAAUAAUUAAAGUUAAAAGGUGCUUUCUUAUUAGAUACUUAGCUUUUAAGAUACCUUCUCAGGCCAGGGUUGCAGUGAUGCUCUGAUAAAUUUUGUGGGCCCAAAUCUUUAGCCACUAUUUUAAAAAAGAAAUUAUUUUAUACUCUGUUUCCUGGGUUUCCUGAGAUGGUUGUAACAAAUUACCACACACUGGGUGGCUUAAAACAACAAGAAAUUAUUCUCUCACAGUUCUGUUGUCCAGAAGUCCAAAAUUAAGGGGUUGCCAAGGCCAUGUUUCUUCUGAAGGCUCUGGGGGAAGAUCUGCUUUUAUCUUUCCAGCUUCUGGUGGCUGUUGUGUUUCUUGAUUUCUUGACUUCUGAAAGCAUCACACCAAUCUCCACCUUCAUAGUCACGUUGUCUCCUUCUCUUCUCUGUGUCUAAUCUCCUUCUUCCUUAUUCUUUUUUUUUUCUGAGACAGUCUCGCUCUGUCGCCCAGGCUGGAGUGCCUUAUUCUUAUAAGGAUUACUGUAGCUGAAUUUAGGACCAGAUAAUCCAGGAUGACGUCGUCAUCUGAAGAUCCUUAGUGUAAUUAUAUCUUUUGGGGCUUGUAUUUCAAAGGUCCCCAACUCGGCAAGCUUGUGGCCUUAUCUUGACAGCCCUGCUAUGUUCAUAUGUUCUUUUAGUUGACACAAAAGAGUUCAACC
rnacentral:lncRNA from 10 species